rnacentral:rRNA from 1 species
UACGUAGGAGGCAAGCGUUGUCCGGAUUUAUUGGGCGUAAAGAGCGUGUAGGCGGCUUUACAGGUCCGUUGUGAAAACUCGAGGCUCAACCUCGAGACGCCGGUGGAAACCGUAAAGCUAGAGUCCGGAAGAGGAGAGUGGAAUUCCUGGUGUAGCGGUGAAAUGCGCAGAUAUCAGGAGGAACACCCGUGGCGAAAGCGGCUCUCUGGGACGGUACUGACGCUGAGACGCGAAAGCGUGGGGAGCGAACAGG